ensembl:lncRNA
AAAAUCAGCAGCACACGUUUUAAUCCUUGUAGAGGUAGAUGGCAAGUGCCAAUUCGUAGGUGACAAUGGGAAGCCCACGUGGAGCCAUCUUUCCCAGCCAGACUAGAAGGAAGAGGGAAAUCUCACUUGCUCUUGGCCCGGAACUGGAGACACAGCAGAGGAAGCAGAGCCCCUCGCCUGGCUCCGUGACUCAGGUCCUUCUGCCCAGACCUCCUCGGCCUGACAGGUGAGCCCCCAGGGGCUGGCAUUGCCCUCCUCACACGGCAUAUCCAGAGGUGGUAUGAAGAGUCUGAGCUGCCCACUCCCCUUUUUGAUUUAGCUCUACAGAGGUAUCAUUUACGUGGAGUAAAAUAGACCCAUUUUAAGCGCACAGCGCAGCAAAUCCCAAAAGGGCCCCUCUUCCACUUGCUGGUUUUACCAUGUUUUCGUGCCCAGUGUUUCUGUGUGCUGGGUUUUCCGCUUUCUGGGAUGGCAUCGUCGUCCAGUAUGGAACCUUCUGAAUUUUGCUCCAUUCACAGAACAUUCUUUUUCUUGCACACCUGUAGUCCCUUCCUUUUCACUACUGCAUAAUAUUCAUUUAAGAGAUUUACUGACUCCAUGCCAGGUUCUGGAGGUGAGAGUGGAGACCAAAACAGGCUUGGUCCCCAUCCUUGUGGAUUUAUCGAUCUCAAGGGAGAUAGGCAUUUAUGCCAUGAAAGCAUCUCUCCUACCGUCUCACUGUGGCUGCUGCUUCGUGUUUGGAUGGAGAGUAUCUUUUUGGAGAAACCCCAGGUACUGGCCCUGGCAGCCAUUCAUUCAUUCGCUCAUUCAUUCCUGCUACUGUGCGCCUGCCGUGCACCAGGCCGGGCGCUGGGUGAUCCUGGGACACAGCAGGAACACAGACAGACCUGAGUCAUGGAGCCCCCAGGCAGUUAAAAGUAAGUACCCAGAUCCCUGUUUCCUUUAGACUGUGUUAAACACACUGUGCUGAGGUGAAGUUACGGUGUGGAAGGGAGUGUUACGGGAGGCUGACCUGGCUUGAGCGGAGGGGCGGCCAGAAACGAACCCAAAAAAGGAAGAGGCCACUAUCGCGGCAGAGAGCCACAGGUGAAAUGUCCCGCUGCGGGGGACGGGCUGCCAGGCAACUCGGCCGUCCUCGGUCACUAAGAGGGAUCGUUUUCAGGCUUCAGGGCCAUGUGGAGAAAUGCCCGGAGGGGAUCGGGUUACGGGGAAGAGCCAGGGAUGGGGCUGCAGCAGUGUCACACCUGGCAGAGAUGUCUGCAUUUGGAAAGCCCAGGGGGAGGGGAGCUGAGCUCGGGAAGGUGGUCAGCGUGCCAACAGCGGGAGGACUUAGGGCAAGGAACUUAGGUUCCUUUUGCUUUGAAGGCCAUGUCUUCUGAUAAAACACCUGAAUUGCUUUAAACUAACUGAACAGGGAGGGAACAUGUGCAGGAUGUGGGUGGAACAAGAAUGGCCACAUGCUGGUAACUGCUGCAGCUAGGUGAUGGGGGCAUGGGCACUCGUUAGACUUUUCUCUCCGCCUUGGCGCAUGUUUGAAGUUUCCCCUUAACAAAACAAAGUUAAGUGUUUUUCUUUGCAAGUAAUUGGGGAUGUUGAAAAAAAUAUUUUUGGCACCUGGAGAAGAAAGUCUUUGAAGCUCUUCUGAAAAGAAGAAACUGCAGUAUUAGAAAUGUGAGCGUCUCAGGGAAUUUCCUGGCGGUGCAGUGGUUUGGGCCCCGCAGUUCCACUGCAGGGGGCGUGGGUUCACUCCCUGGUCAGGGAGCGUAGAUCCCAUAAGCUGCGUGGGAAGGGCGCCCCUUGACCCCCCCUCCAAAAAAAAAACCACUGUGAAUGUGAGCAUCUCCUUAAGAAUGGAGCCCAAGAGGAAGAGGGUUGAAGGCACAGACAGUAGAACCAAUAGAAUUCCUGGGUUCAAAUCCCAGGGCUGCCACUGACUCCCUAUGAAACCUGAAGCAACUGAUUGCAACUCCGAACGCCUCACUGGAAAACCGGGAUAACAGCAGCUGCCGCCUAAGGGCUGUGUUAGGUUGUUACUGAGUUAAUGCACACAGAGGGCUCAGACUGGUGCCUGGCUUGAAGCGGUGCAUGUAAACGUUGGCAGUGGUUAUCACAGCACGUGCCAGGCAGAUGUAACACCACAAAAGGUCUCAAGGAAGACGCACCCACGGUUCCUUUACAGAACUGACUGUCCAAUAGUCUGUGGUAUCAGAGGGGAAGUCAGGAACUCUUCCCACACCGAUGCACUGAUACUUUAGUAACCUUCCCUUACACAUACAAAACGCUUUUCUAUAAGUCAGUUGUUCCAAAGGCUUGUGAAACACCGUCUAAGUGAUUUAAGUUCUGUUUAUAAUAACUGAAGACUUCACGGUAGAGAGGUUCCCUAAGUUGAUGUGACCUUGAAAGGAAUCCUAUAAGCACUCAAGAGGUCAGUCUGGGGUAACUGAGGGUUACAGACACACCUCUGUUCUCUUCCCGCCCUGGUGGAAUUGUUUAGGUGAUACAAAUGAUUCCUGAAAGGUCUCUUCUUCUUAAACACAACGUGAUUAUUGUCUUUUGUUAACUAAACAACAAGCUGUCCCCACAACAGCUACUGGUGUGUUCUGUUAGUAGUCAACAAAAACGUGUUUGUUGCAAAAAAUACUUUAAAGUGAAUCUCCUCUCCCCUACUUCCAACAUGCAGAAAUGACACUGGUUUUACAUUUUGUCCAUCAUCUUUACGGAUGACGUCUGGGAGUGUUUCAAAAUAAUGCGGGUGGUGUAUGUGGGACGGGCAGGGCUGGCGGGACUGAAGGUCACGGGGCUGAGUGAGGGUGCACACCGAGGCCCAGAUAAGAGAGAGGGCCGAGCUCUAGGAAGAGAGGAAGUGAGUUCAGUGUGUCUGCGGCUCAGGCAGUUGGGGAGACAGGCAGAGCAAGUCAGGGACCAGGUCACACCAACGUUUGGUGUCAGUCUAUGGCGUGAGGACUCGGUCCUGAGGACGCUGGAGAAAUAUGGAAGGACUUCAAGCAAGAGGGUGUGAUAAGAUCUGGGUUUCAAAAAGAUCCCUCAGCUGUCCAGUGGAGGUGGGUCAAACGGGGAGACAGGAGGCCAGGCAGAGACGAGGUGGGAGAGGACAGAGCUGGACCUAGGCAGGGCCGUGACAGAUGAGAAGGGGCGGGUGGGCGAGUCCAGAGGCCUGGUGGUCAAGC